UCAAUUCUGAAACUUAAUUUACUAAUAGUAAAAUAACACACCAAACACACACCUAAGUGUGUGUUUGAUCGAUCAAAGCCAGGCAACAAGAGGGGAUUUCCCUCAAACCCUAAAAUUCACAAAAAUCCAUCAAUUGAAGGUGCAAAUCAAGUCCGAAUUGAAAUCUGAAUAUAGGGUUGUGAUCAUCUUGACUAAGAGAUUGUAAGGCAACACGAGUGAGGCGUCGGGAAGUCAAGCCGGUGCGGACGCUCGCCAAAAGGGAAAGCUCUAAGAUUUCAAGUAAGUCAAUCGAGCGGAUGGUGAUUAAUACAAGACUUAUGAACCGAACACUCUCAAGAAGAUGAUUUUCACUUUUGUUUUAGAAGUUCUU